AAGAAGCUAUAAGACACUUGGAUAAUGCCAAGAUGCAUUUCGAGGAAGGCUUGUCAGCACGACAUAAAGCAGGAGAGUCUACUAAGCUUAUUACCAAGGGCAUCCGAGGGAAAAGUGCCUCUGAGAAACUAACUGAAGAAGGACUAGUCAAAUUUUCUGCUAGAGUUGCUAUCCAGAUAGAUGUUGUCAGAUGCUUUAAUGAUGCAGA
rnacentral:misc_RNA from 1 species